AAUUCUCAACUUCACCAAUUUGCUUUGUGUGAAGCUUGGAUCUGGGGUGUGCUGGACCCUUGUCGUUGGGUCGGCUCCUCUUUAAAUGCAGCAGCGGAGUCUUCUUUGACUUUUGCAGUGUCGGCGUGAUAAUUAUGUUGCGCCGUCGGCCGUGGGUCUCAGUCCGCUUAGAAUUGUCAUUGGACAACUUAUGCAAC
rnacentral:misc_RNA from 1 species